GACGAACGCUGGCGGCGUGCUUAACACAUGCAAGUCGAGCGGUAAGGCCCUUUCGGGGGUACGACGAGCAGCGAACGGGUGAGUAACACGUGGGUGACCUGCCCUCAGCUCUGGGAUAAGCCCGGGAAACUGGGUCUAAUACUGGAUAUGACUCCAUGACGCAUGUUGUGGGGUGGAAAGCCUUGUGCGGCUGAGGAUGGGCCCGCGGCCUAUCAGCUUGUUGGG
rnacentral:rRNA from 1 species